CCACAGUGGAGUGCAGAUGAGAAAAACCAAAGGAGAAAAGCUUCAGCCUUGUGUAAUUUCCAUGAUUAAAAUCAACAGCAAUGUUUGACUAAUUGGCCCACCAAGGCCCUUGCAUUGGCAUAAUUUAAAUAAGCUUAAAAACAGAACAAGGAGCCCCACAAAGCCUCCCAAGGUUUUUGGUGGAGUGCCCCACUGAAAAGUGAGACUGAGCAUUGUGUUCACUGUCAGCAUCACCAGCCAUUACACCUCUGAGCAGGGGCACCACAUCAUUAAGGGACUGCAAGAAGAGAAUGGGAACACACAUUCUCCUUCUCCUGCUCCAUGUCACUGCCUUAUCUUCAUGCAUGUCCUGCACGUUUACAUGGAGCAAAGCUGAAGCAGGGAGGUGUGCAAGAGGCACAGCGUUUCCCAGAGCAGUUCCUGAGACGAGGCAGCUACCCAGCUUCUGCAUUGCUCAGAGCAAAGCCUUGAGAUGCAUAGUAGCCCAAAGUAAUGAGCCUGGCUCUGGCAAUAAAGUGAU